rnacentral:rRNA from 1 species
AUUGAACGCUGGCGGCAGGCCUAACACAUGCAAGUCGAGCGGAUGAAGGGAGCUUGCUCCUGGAUUCAGCGGCGGACGGGUGAGUAAUGCCUAUGAAUCUGCCUGGUAUUGGGGGAUAACGUCCGGAAACGGGCGCUAAUACCGCAUACUUCCUGAGGCAGAAAGUUGGUGAUCUUCGGACCUCACGCUAUCAGAUGAGCCUAGUUCGGAUUAGCUAGUUUGUGGGUUAAGGGCCUACCAAGCCAACGAUCCGUAGCUGGUCUGAGAGGCUGAUCAGUCACACUGGAACUGAGACACGGUCAUGACUCCUACGGGAGGCAGCAGUGGGGAAUAUUGGACAAUGGGGGAAAGCCUGGUCCAGCCAUGCCGAGUGUGUGAAGAAGGUCUUCGGAUUGUAAAGCACGUUAAGUUGGGAGAAAGGGCAGUAAGUUAAUACGUUGCUGUUUUGACGGUACCAACAGAAUAAGCACCGGCUAACUUCGUG